CCUUCGAUAGCUCAGUUGGUAGAGCGGUGGACUGUAGAGUGUAUUCAAAUAGUAAUCCAUAGGUCGCUGGUUCAAAUCCGGCUCGAAGGA
rnacentral:tRNA from 1 species